rnacentral:misc_RNA from 1 species
AAGUCGUAACAAGGUUUCCGUAGGUGAACCUGCGGAAGGAUCAAUAUUACGUAUCCACGUAUCAACCCAAUCGUGAACUUGUUUCCCGUCUGAUGAGGACUUCUGCGACCAUUUGACUUCAAUGCGUGAUGAACUGAAGGGUAGAGGUAGGGUUUCGGCCCGACUCUUCUUCAGCGUCAAGCGGUCGGUCCUGGAUUCUUCGGAGUCCAGCUCAUUGGAUGUGGUUUUCUUUCAUCAUGCGACUUAUUAACCCCUUGUACAACUAUGAACUAAACAAUUGCUGCCCGAUCAAAAGGGUGGUAACAAACUGAAACUAAAAACAACUCUUAACAACGGAUAUCUUGGUUCUC